rnacentral:rRNA from 1 species
UUGUAGGCUGAAACUCGCCUACAUGAAGCUGGAAUUGCUAGUAAUCACAGGUCAGCAUACUGUGGUGAAUACGUUCCCGGGCCUUGUACGCACCGCCCGUCACACCAUGAGAGUUGAGAAUACCCGAAGCCCAUGUCAAAGUGGUCGAAGGUAGGCUUGAUGAUUGGGGUGAAGUCGUAACAAGGUAUC